AUGGUCUUCGGAGGUGGCAGAACGGGAGUACAGAGGUGCAGCGGCCGUCAGCCAGGUGUUUGCAGAUCUUCCGGAUCAGUGACUCCCUGCUGGACGGCGUCGAUCGGCGCACAGGACAUGCCACCGGCGGCUGUCGCUCCGGUUCUCUGGACGCUGACCAGGCCCAGGCGUGUCUGCGGCGGCGGGCGGCGCGGCGGCGGCGGCCGGCGAGACUCGUGGUCAUCGGCGACUCUCGCAGCCGCAUCCUGACGGAGCAGCUGCGCGUGUUCCUCCAGUUGGGAAACGGCACUGCCAUUAGGGACGUGCGCCUCGAGGACAUCCCGCCGGGUCCGCUGCAGCCGCUUCUGCAGCACAGCACAAGGGACGCAUGCGUCCAACAAGAGGCGAGUUGCAGCAGAACCAUGAGAAAUGACGUACUUAUAGCAGAGUACUGGCGGCGGCCGUACAUUUACUCGCUGUUUCUGCAGAAGCUAAGAAAGCUAGUGACUGAGUGUCGAGAGAAACCGUUAGAAUGUCCCGAUCUCGUGGUGAUAAAUAGUGGUAUGUGGUACCUUCGUGUGAUACCAGUCCAACUGCCAAUUGAAAAGUCAAAAAUAGCUUGGACUCUAAAGAUGCGAGAGCACGUGAGCGGCAUCCGACAGGUACUAGCUCAACUGGUGAAGGAGACCACGGUAGUGUGGCGACUGGAGGAGGCCAUCACUUCCGACGUGACACGAACGCGCAGAAAGUCGGAUUACCAGAGAAGGUUGACAGCUUCGCAUGCAUUCUUCUACGAGCUACAGACUAAGGUGGAUGGACUUGUAUUGUGGUCAUCCAUGCUUCCAGAGACCUUCGAUUUUUCCCAACGGGUCUGCGGCUCAGUUCAGAACUUCACAGACUCUGACGACCCAGCUAUCAAGGAUAUAAUUAAUCAGUGCUGGGACGAAAUACACGUGGGUCGCUCCAUGCGACAGCGAUUUGUCUCCAAAAUGUUGGAUGUAUUUUGCGAGCUUGAUGGCGACAGGGAUGCAGGACACUGCUGUAGGGGAUAAUUUGGCU